CCUAGGCCCCAAGUCAUCAUCAGAAGUCCACUGAAGUAGUAAGGGUGAGUGAUCAGAUGAAGUCCUGUUCAAGUGCUUCACUGUAAGCUGUCGACAAAAUGCUGCAGCUGAAGAAUUAAUGAGUACUCUAUCCAAUCUCUUCCUGACCCGCCCAUUGGUCCAAGUGUAUCGAUUCCCAUGGAAACCUGCAUCCUCUAGACCACUGUCCAACAUCAUAUCAGAAAAAGCCGUAGUGCCUCGAUCACGAGUAUUAUGACUCAUGCGCUCUCCAUCAUGAGUAAUAACGUUAAAGUCUCCCCCAACUAUCCAAGGGUCCUCCAUAUCGAGGGAGAUGUGGUGAA
rnacentral:lncRNA from 1 species